rnacentral:rRNA from 1 species
UGGGGAAUAUUGGGCAAUGGGCGAAAGCCUGACCCAGCCACGCCGCGUGAGUGAUGAAGGCCUUCGGGUCGUAAAGCUCUGUGGGGAGGGACGAACAAGCGUUGAGCUAACACCCAACGCUCUGACGGUACCUCCUUAGCAAGCACCGGCUAACCAUGUGCCAGCAGCCGCGGUAAUACAUGGGGUGCAAACGUUGCUCGGAAUUAUUGGGCGUAAAGCGCGCGUAGGCGGUUAUCUAAGUUGGAUGUGAAAGCCCUCGGCUUAACUGAGGAAGUGCACCCAAAACUGGAUAGCUGGAGUACGAAAGAGGGUCGCGGAAUUCCCGGUGUAGAGGUGAAAUUCGUAGAUAUCGGGAGGAACACCGGUGGCGAAGGCGGCGACCUGGGUCGAGACUGACGCUGAGGCGCGAAAGCGUGGGGAGCAAACAGG